rnacentral:rRNA from 1 species
UGUCGGACUUUUCGAAGUGAAGCAUUCAAGUUUCUGCCCUAUCAGCUUUCGAUGGUAGUGUAUUGGACUACCAUGGCGAUGACGGGUAACGGAGAACUAUGAGCCAUGGAGGACUCAUAGUUCUAAGGAAGGCAGCAGGCGCGAAAAUUGCCCAAUGUACAUCAGUACGAGGCAGUGACGAACAAUUUCAAGUGGGCUUUUGCUCAUGUUGGACUGAGAUCGGCGUACAUAACCGGUCAAUUGCAAUUAGUGGGAGAGCAUGGUGCCAGCAGCCGCGGUAAUUCCAUCACUGAAAGUUUUCUCUUACGUUGCUGCAGUUAAAAUGCCCGUAGCCGUUGUUAGCGAAAGCGUGUCACUUUGAGAAAAUCGGAGCGUUCAUAGCAGGCUAGCCGCUGUACAGCACAGCAAAGCACGACAUCGCGGUCUCAACAACCGUAUGUAGUACAUGGCAGCGCGUGGUCGAUGGUAUUUGUUGGGGACAGGUGAAAUAGGAUGAUCCAACAAGGACCCACAGGAGCGAAGGCAGUCGACAAGCGCUGUCCAGUUGGUCAAGGGCGAAAGUGUAAGGAUAGACGAUGAUUAGAAACCGUUUUAUUUUACGCCUUAAACGAUACCAUCUAGGCAGUGGGCAUGUUGCUCACAGCCCCAAGGAAACCGAAAGGCUUCAGGCUCUGGGGGAAGUAUGGUUGCAAGACUGAAACUUGAAGGCAUUGACGGAAAGAUACCACCAGACGUGGAGUCUGCGGCUCAAUUUGACCCAACACGCAAAUCUUACCGGACCCAGAUGCUUUAUGGAGCAACAGAUUAAGAGUUCUUUUGCGAUUAGGCAGGUAGUGGUGCAUGGCCGCUCCUAGUUCGUGGUGUUAACUGUCUGCUUUAUUGCGAUAACGAGCGAGACAACCAGAUUCAGCCUUUGAAUCGAGUGCCCGCGCUGAGUGGGACGAACGCGGUUGCGCUAGCAGGUCUGUGAUGCCCUUAGACACUCUGGGCCGCACGCGUACUACAAUGCCGGCGGCAAAAUGUUGCGAGGUAUAAAUACCGAGCUAUUCGUCAACCGCCGGCGUGGUCGGGAUAGUGGCUUGGAAUUUUUCCACUUGAACGAGGAAUGUCUCGUAAACGUACGUAAGAAGCGUACGCUGACUAUGUCCCUGUCUUUUGUACACACCGCCCGUCGCUCCUACCGACUUGGGUGUCUUGGUGAGUUGUCUGGAGCAUUUGGUGCAUAACCA